GGACUCAUGAGAGACUGCCGGGGUCAACUCGGAGGAAGGUGGGGAUGACGUCAAAUCAUCAUGCCCCUUAUGUCCAGGGCUUCACACAUGCUACAAUGGUCGGUACAACGCGCAGCGACACUGUGAGGUGGAGCGAAUCGCUGAAAGCCGGCCUUAGUUCGGAUUGGGGUCUGCAACUCGACCCCAUGAAGUCGGAGUCGCUAGUAAUCGCAGAUCAGCAACGCUGCGGUGAAUACGUUCCCGGGCCUUGUACACACCGCCCGUCACGUCAUGAAAGUUGGUAACACCCGAAGCCAGUGGCUCAAACUCGUUAGGGAGCUGUCGAAGGUGGGAUCGGCGAUUGGGACGAAGUCGUAACAAGGUAGCCGUACCGGAAGGUGCGGCUGG
rnacentral:rRNA from 1 species